rnacentral:lncRNA from 7 species
AAAAGGCGGCUGACGGACAAGCAGGGGAUGCCUUUCAGCACAGCUUCCUCGGGGACUAAAUGUGAACAGGGCUUCAGGGAAUAGAUGUGUUGCUAGUUGAAAAUGCUGUAGCAGCUCUGACCCUCGAAAUUUUGAAGCUGGGGACUAAAUCAGUGUUUCACUGAGCAGCACUUGCACAUUUUGAGUGAAUGCCUUUAUCUGGAAAAGACAAACAUCCCAGGAGUCUGUAAGAAGUAAGAAGUAAGCUGUUGCAGCUUGAAUUUGUGAGAGGACUUCUGUGGAGCCUGAACCACCUCCCUCCAUCUCAAAGGAGACCGAGCCUUCCCUCUUUCUUAAAGCAAGGCACCCUGGCGGCCUGCGUAGUAAGAUUGUAGCUCAGCAAGCUCCUGCUUGCAGCAUGUCCCAGCAGGCUGCAGAAGUACCCCUUACUCCCAAGUGGCAUAAAGAACACUGUUUUGAGAAGAGGAUCCAGGGAUGGCCAAGACAAGAGAAAUAGGAGUGAAUUUCAGGGGAACGUGGAAAGGCAGACCCACUCCAAGGCUUUUGACUUGCCACACCUUUCCGAGAGGAUGACAUCUCAGAGGCUCUGUGUCUGUCCCAGAUUGUGACUGUUUUCUUCUGAAGAGCAAACGUGAGAUUCAAAGAGCGCCUGGCAAAAGCUGCUUCUAGUACUGCAGCAGCAGCAUGGGAAGUAUUUCAUGUAUGUAGAAGAUAGAGCAUCUGUGUAGGCGGUUGUUUUCUGCAACUCUCUGUGAGUUUGGGGAGAAGUUAUUAAGUACUGCUUCUCCUUCUUUCUUUAAAAAAGGACAGAGAGAGAAAGCCUGCAUUUUCUACCAUUUCCCAAGAGGCUUUUUAUCUGUUUAAACCAACUAGGGAUUUUUCACAUAUUGACAUAAGCAUUCAUUUGCUAAUUUGCUGGACAUUAAACUGCACAGCAUUCUUGAAUGAGGCUGGAAUACUUGGGUACUUAGUGCUGCUCAGACCCCGCAUCAUUCCCAGUACACAUAUGGUUUUCCUCCUCUAUCUCCUAGAUAAAAGUCACUGUUUGAUCGCCUUAAGGGAAAGAAUGAGUUAAAUGGACCAAUAUUUUAGCCUUGGCUCUAAAACUGGGCCUUUUCAGAAACUCCUCAGCACCUGCAGCAGCUAGGUCAUUUGCACAUACAUAAAUAAAUAAAUUAACAAUGAAUAAAUAAUUUAAUCCCGCCACACAAUGCCACCUUGCAGAUCUGAUCCUUUGCUCCCAGUGAAUUUGUCCAUUCCUAAUUCUUUUUGAUAAAGUCUUCAGAUACUU